rnacentral:rRNA from 1 species
GAUGAACGCUAGCUACAGGCUUAACACAUGCAAGUCGAGGGGCAGCAUGGAGUCAGCUUGCUGACUCUGAUGGCGACCGGCGCACGGGUGAGUAACGCGUAUCCAACCUGGCCCUCAGUAGGGAAUAGCCCGGCGAAAGUCGGAUUAAUGCCCUAUGUUCUCCUUUGCGGGCAUCUAAUGAGGAGGAAAGAUUUAUCGCUGUGGGAUGGGGAUGCGUCUGAUUAGCUUGUCGGCGGGGUAACGGCCCACCGAGGCAACGAUCAGUAGGGGUUCUGAGAGGAAGGUCCCCCACAUUGGUACUGAGACACGGACCAAACUCC